rnacentral:rRNA from 1 species
GAUGAACGCUGGCGGCGUGCCUAAUACAUGCAAGUCGAGCGAACGGACGAGAAUCUUGCUUCUCUCAUGUUAGCGGCGGGCGGGUGAGUCACACGUGGAUAACCUACCUAUAAGACUGGGAUAACUUCGAGAAAGCGUAGCAAAUACCGGAUAAUCUUUUGAACCGCAUGGGUCAAAAGUGAAUGACGGUCUUGCUGUCACUUCUAGAUGGAUCCGCGCUGCAUUAGGUAGUUGGUAAGGUAACGGCUUACCAAGGCGACGAUGCAUAGCCGACCUGUGAGGGGGAUCGGCCACACUGGAAGUGAGCCGCGGUCCAGGGUCCUACGGGAGGCAGCAGUAGCGAAUGUUGGGCAAUGGGCGGAAGCCUGACGGAGCAGCGCCGCGUGAGUGAUGAAGGUCUUCGGAUCGUAAAACUCUGUUAUGAGGGUAAAACAUAUGUGUAAGUAACUGUGCACAGCGUGACGGUACUUAGUCAGAAAGCACCGGCUAACUACGUG